GCGGCCCGGUGGAGCGCUCGGCAGGAUCCCGGCCCGCUGGCGCCGAGCCCUCUUCGCGAGGAGGAACGCUUCCGGAGCGUACCGUGGCGCUCCGGCCCUCGCC
rnacentral:tRNA from 1 species